UCAACCAUNGUGUGCAUUGGGAANNGGGGGGACUUGAGUGCNGGAGAGGAGAGUGGAAUUCCAUGUGNAGNGGUGAAAUGCGUAGAUAUAUNGAGGAACACCNGGAGGCGAAAGCGGCUCUCUGGCCUGUAACUGACACUGAGGCUCGAAAGCGUGGGGAGCAAACAGGAUUAGAUACCNUGGUAGUCCACGCCGUAAACGAUGAGUGCUAGCUGUAGGGAGCUAUAAGUUCUCNGUAGCGCAGCUAACGCAUUAAGCACUCCGCNUGGGGAGUNCGACCGCAAGGUUGAAACUCAAAGGAAUNNANNGGGGCCCGCACAAGCGGUGGAGCAUGUGGUUUAAUUCGAAGCAACGCGAAGAACCUUACCAGGUCUUGACAUACUCGUGCUAUCCUUAGAGAUAAGGAGUUCUUUCGGGACACGGGAUACAGGUGGUGCGUGGUNGUCGUCAGCUCGUGUCGUGAGAUGUUGGGUUAAGUCCCGCAACGAGCGCAACCCUUAUUACUAGUUGCCAUCAUUAAGUUGGNCACUCUAGUGAGACUGCCNGUGAUAAACCGGAGGAAGGUGGGGANGACNUCAAAUCAUCAUGCCCCUUAUGACCUGGGCUACACACGUGCUACAAUGGAUGGUACAACGAGUCGCCAACCCGCGAGGGUGCGCUAAUCUCUUAAAACUAUUCUCAGUUCGGAUUGCAGGCUNCANNNGGCCNGCAUGAAGUCGGAAUCGCUAGUAAUCGCGGAUCANCANGGCGCGGUGAAUACGUUCCCGGGCCUUGUACACACCGCCCGUCAUCUUGCUAAAAAC
rnacentral:rRNA from 1 species